rnacentral:rRNA from 1 species
UACGUAGGGGGCGAGCGUUGUCCGAAGUUACUGGGCGUAAAGCGCGCGCAGGCGGUCCUUUAAGUCUGAUGUGAAAGCCCACGGCUCAACCGUGGAGGGUCAUUGGAAACUGGGGGACUUGAGUACAGAAGAGAAGAGUGGAAUUCCACGUGUAGCGGUGAAAUGCGUAGAGAUGUGGAGGAACACCAGUGGCGAAGGCGACUCUUUGGUCUGUAACUGACGCUGAGGCGCGAAAGCGUGGGGAGCAAACAGG